CCUACGGGAGGCAGCAGUGAGGAAUAUUGGUCAAUGGACGAGAGUCUGAACCAGCCAAGUAGCGUGAAGGAUGACUGCCCUAUGGGUUGUAAACUUCUUUUAUAAAGGAAUAAAACGAGGCACGUGUGCCUUUUUGCAUGUACUUUAUGAAUAAGGAUCGGCUAACUCCGUGCCAGCAGCCGCGGUAAUACGGAGGAUCCGAGCGUUAUCCGGAUUUGUUGGGGUUAAAGGGAGCGUAGAUGGGUUGUUAAGUCAGUUGUGAAAGUUUGCGGCUCAACCGUAAAAUUGCAAUUGAUACUGGCAGUCUUGAGUACAGUUGAGGUAGGCGGAAUUCGUGGUGUAGCGGUGAAAUGCUUAGAUAUCACGAAGAACCCCGAUUGCGAAGGCAGCUUACUAAACUGUGACUGACAUUGAUGCUCGAAAGUGUGGGUAUCAAACAGGAUUAGAUACCCGUGUAGUC
rnacentral:rRNA from 1 species